GAAAUACUCCCCCCGUCCCAAAAUUCUUGUCUUAGAUUUGUCUAAAUACGGAUGUAUCAAGUCAUGUUUUGGUAUUAGAUACAUCCGUAUCUAGACUAAUCUAAGACAAGAAUUUUGGGACGGAGGGAGUAUAAG
rnacentral:pre_miRNA from 1 species